GACGAACGCUGGCGGCGUGCUUAACACAUGCAAGUCGAACGGACAGGCCCUGCUUUUGUUGCGUGCUCGAUUGCCGCACGGGUGAGUAACACGUGUGUAACCUGCCCUUGUCUUUGUGGUAACUUCACGAAACUGGGGCUCAUACCCGGUAUAAGCUCCUGCUCCAUGGUGGGGGUUGGAAAAUUUCGGCGGUUGGGGCUGGACUCGCGGCUUCUCCGCUUGUUGGUGGGGUAGUGGCUGACCAAGGCUUUGACGGGUAGCCGGCCUGAGAGGGGGACCGGCGACAUGGGGACUGAGAGACGGCGCAGACUCGUACGGGAGGCAGCAGUGGGGAAUAUGGCACAAUGGGCGGAAGCCUGAUGCAGCAACGUCGCGUGCGGGAUGACGGCCUUCGGGUUGUAAACCGCUGUCGACGGUGACGAAGCGUGAGUGACGGUAAUGGGUAAAGAAGCAACGGCUAACUACGUG
rnacentral:rRNA from 1 species